GGCGCUUUAUGUACAUCAUAAGAUCAGAUGCUGGGCAGCCUUUAAGAGAAGAACUUGCAAAAUCACCGGAAAAGAUAAUUGCAAGUGCUUUUCCUGAAUUUAUUGCUAAAUCUGAUGCAUCUGCUGGACAAGAAUCUUUGAGUCGGCCAAGCACUUCUACUGGUGAUGAAGGCCUUGGUACUCCUCAAGUCGAGGCUUCUAUUCCUUCAGCUUCAACUAAUGUGGCUCCUCAAGAUGCUUAUUUCCAGGGUCUUUCCUUAGUGAAAACUUUGGUCAAGUUGAUGCCCAACUGGUUACAGAACAACCGUUGUAUCUUUGAUACUCUGGUACUAAUGUGGAAGUCACCAGCAAGAAUCUCCCGUCUGCAGAAUGAGCAGGAAUUAAAUUUAGUUCAGGUCAAAGAGAGCAAAUGGCUUGUCAAAUGCUUC
rnacentral:misc_RNA from 1 species